UGGGGAAUAUUGCACAAUGGGCGCAAGCCUGAUGCAGCCAUGCCGCGUGUAUGAAGAAGGCCUUCGGGUUGUAAAGUACUUUCAGCGGGGAGGAAGGCGAUAAGGUUAAUAACCUUGUCGAUUGACGUUACCCGCAGAAGAAGCACCGGCUAACUCCGUGCCAGCAGCCGCGGUAAUACGGAGGGUGCAAGCGUUAAUCGGAAUUACUGGGCGGAAAGCGCCCGCAGGCGGUCUGUCAAGUCGGAUGUGAAAUCCCCGGGCUCAACCUGGGAACUGCAUUCGAAACUGGCAGGCUAGAGUCUUGUAGAGGGGGGUAGAAUUCCAGGUGUAGCGGUGAAAUGCGUAGAGAUCUGGAGGAAUACCGGUGGCGAAGGCGGCCCCCUGGACAAAGACUGACGCUCAGGUGCGAAAGCGUGGGGAGCAAACA
rnacentral:rRNA from 1 species